rnacentral:rRNA from 1 species
GACAGAGGUGCCGAGCGUUAGGCGGAAUCACUGGGCUUAAAGCGUGUGUAGGCGGAUGGGUAAGUACCUUGUGAAAUCCCACGGCUCAACCGUGGAACUGCUCGGUAUACUGCCCGUCUUGAGCCAGCUAGGGGCAACCGGAACAAACGGUGGAGCGGUGAAAUGCGUAGAUAUCGUAAGGAAGACCAGUGGCGAAGGCGGGUCUCUGGACAGUUCCUGACGCUGAGGCACGAAGGCCAGGGGAGCAAACAGG